rnacentral:tRNA from 1 species
GGGCCAUUAGUUUAAUGGUAGAACGACGUGUUCGCAACACGGAGGAGAGAGUUCGAUUCUCUCAUGGUCCA